CCAAUCGAACCCGGAGAUAGCUGGUUCUCCUCGAAAUAGCUUUAGGGCUAGCCUCAUGGAUCAUUGGUGGGGGUAGAGCACUGAAUGUGCGCGGGGGCCACAAAGCCUACCAAACGCUAUCAAACUUCGAAUACCAUACAAUGCAGACCAUGGGAGUCAGUCCGCGAGAGAUAAGUUCCGCGGGCAAAAGGGGAACACCCCAGAUCAACCGCUAAGGUCCCCAAGUUCACGUUAAGUGGAGAAGGAUGUGGAAUUGCACAGACAACCAGGAUGUUGGCUCAGAAGCAGCCACACAUUUAAAGAGUGCGUAAUAGCUCACUGGUCGAGUGAUUGUGCGCCGAAGAUGUCCGGGGCUAAACGUGACACCGAAGCGAUGGGUGCAUCUGAAAGGAUGCGCGGUAGAGGAGCAAUGUGCAGAGGCAGAAGCCGUAUCGAGAGGCACGGUGGACACUGCACAAGAGAGAAUGCCGGUAUGAGUAGCGAGAGGCAUGCGAGAAACAUGCCCGUCGAAAGCCCAAGGUUUCCUGGGGAAGGUUCAUCCGCCCAGGGUAAGUCGGGGCCUAAGCCGAGGACGGAAGUCGUAGGCGAUGGACAGCAGGUGUAGAUUCCUGCACUACCGAUGGAAUGAAGCAGUGACACAGAAGGAUAACUCGAGCAGGGUGAUGGUCAACCCUGUGCAAGCAUCAAGGUUGGGUUGUAGUGAAGUACGCAACCCUAUAAGCUGAGGUGUGAUGCGGACCGAAAUUUCAGUAGGGAAGCGAGUGAGUUCACGCUGGCGAGAAAAGCUGCUAGUACAUCCAAAGGUACCCGUACCGGAAACCGACGCAGGUGGGCGAGGAGAGAAUCCUGAGACGAACGGGAGAACCCUUGUUAAGGAACUCGGCAAAAUGACCCCGUAACUUCGGGAUAAGGGGUGCCUGCGAGAGCAGGCCGCAGAGAAUAGUCACAAGCGACUGUUUAGCAAAAACACAGGUAUCUGCGAAAGCGAGAGCUGACGUAUAGGUGCUGACACCUGCCCGGUGCUGGAAGGUUAAGGGAACAUGUUAGAGCAAUCGAAGCAUCGAACCGAAGCCCCAGUAAACGGCGGCCGUAACUAUAACGGUCCUAAGGUAGCGAAAUUCCUUGUCGGGUAAGUUCCGACCCGCACGAAUGGUGUAACGACUUGUGAGCUGUCUCAACAGGGGGCCCGGUGAAAUUGAAGUAUGGGUGAAGAUGCCCAUUACCCGCGACUGGACGGAAAGACCCCGUAGAGCUUUACUGCAGCCUGAUAUUGAGUUUCGGUAACUGAUGCACAGGAUAGGUGGGAGUCUGAGAGACACGGGUUUCGGCUCGUGUGGAGACGCUGUUGGGAUACCACUCUUCGGUUACUGAAAUUCUAACAUAGCUCUGUGAAACCAGAGGAUGGACAGUGUCAGGUGGACAGUUUGACUGGGGCGGUCGCCUCCGAAAGAGUAACGGAGGCGCCCAAAGGUACCCUCAGAAUGGAUGGAAACCAUUCGAAGAGCGCAAAGGCAGAAGGGUGCCUGACUGCGAGAUUGACAAAUCGAGCAGAGACGAAAGUCGGGCUUAGUGAUCCGGCGGUAUUGAGUGGAAAAGCCGUCGCUUAACGGAUAAAAGCUACCUCGGGGAUAACAGGCUGAUCUCCCCCAAGAGUCCACAUCGACGGGGAGGUUUGGCACCUCGAUGUCGGCUCAUCGCAUCCUGGGGCUGAAUUCGGUCCCAAGGGUUUGGCUGUUCGCCAAUUAAAGCGGCACGCGAGCUGGGUUCAGAACGUCGUGAGACAGUUCGGUCCCUAUCCAUCGUGGGCGUAGGAGUCAUGAGAGGAGCUGUUCCUAGUACGAGAGGACCGGAAUGGACGCACCACUGGUGCAACUGUUGUCGUGCCAACGGCAUAGCAGGGAAGCGAAGUGCGGAUGGGAUAAACGCUGAAGGCAUCUAAGCGUGAAGCCCACCUCAAGAAUAAGACUCCACAAUAGACCCCUGGAGGACUACCAGGUAGAUAGGUCAUCGGUGGAAGCGCUGUAAGGCGUGUAGCUUGAUGAUACUAAUCGGUCGAAAGCUUCAUUUA
rnacentral:rRNA from 1 species